CCCUUAGAUGUUCUGGGCCGCACGCGCGCUACACUGAUGCAUUCAACGAGUUUCUUCCUGGUCCGAGAGGAAUGGGUAACCUUUUGAAAGUGCAUCGUGAUAGGGAUAGACUAUUGCAAUUAUUGAUCUUCAACGAGGAAUUCCUAGUAGACGUAGUUCAUCAGACUGCGUCGAUUACGUCCCUGCCCUUUGUACACACCGCCCGUCGCUCCUACCGAUUGAAUGCCCAGGUGAGCCAUUCGGACUUUCAUCAUGCUGGUUUCCAGUUUUGAUGAAGGAAAGUCUUGCGAACCUUAUCAUUUAGAGGAAGGAGAAGUCGUAACA
rnacentral:rRNA from 1 species